rnacentral:rRNA from 1 species
AUUGAACGCUGGCGGCAGGCCUAACACAUGCAAGUCGAACGGUAACAGGAAGAAGCUUGCUUCUUUGCUGACGAGUGGCGGACGGGUGAGUAAUGUAUGGGGAUCUGCCCGAUGGAGGGGGAUAACUACUGGAAACGGUAGCUAAUACCGCAUAAUGUCGCAAGACCAAAGAGGGGGGCCUUAGGGCCUCUUACCAUCGGAUGAA